AUCCGCCCGUCUCAACCUCCCAAAGUGCUGGGAUUACAGGCUUGAGCCACCGCGCCCGCCUCGAGUGAUUUUCAAUUGUACUCGUUCCCAAAUUGGCUAACGAACGGGUCGGCCAGGCCCCCGGACUACAAGUCCCAGCUGCCUGCGCGGACCCGGCUCCCGUUAUCCCAGCCCUGCGUGUUCUCCCCAUGGAGCAGAGCUCCACAAAAGUGCGGGAAUGUCUGACAGGGAAGCAUCAGAGAAGCCUUCACCAGCAGCCCGACAUUCACCUGGACGCACAGUGCACUUUUCUUAACGUCUGGGCAGCGAAGGCAGGGCACACCAUCUACCGCAGGCUAGGACGAUCACCAACCGCCCCACCGCACCCUGCGCCCGCCCCACGGCACCCGCCGGCUGCAAGUCACGGCGACCCAGGAGCAUGCGUGCUGCGACCCCUGGCCUGCCAGCAGGAGCGGAGCGCGCGCCUGGGGGAAUCUUCGGUGCGCCAAGUCUGUUCGCCGCCCGGGUCUAUCACCCCCGCCCCUCGCCUCUGCCCGCGCGCGUGUGAGUUGUAGCGUCCCCUGGGUUCUGUUCUGGAGGAGGCCUGAGAGCGGGGUUGCCUGGGGGGUGGGGCCCUCACCCCUCUCGUCGUGGUGAAGAGGCGUAUACCCAGCGGGUGAGUACCGCCCGCGAGCUCCCGGUUGAGCUGGCGUCCCCGGGGAGGACGCUGCGGGGCGCCGCCGUGGGAAGAGCGUGGAGGACGCAGCGUGGAGGCGCGAGGCCGUAGGACGCCAGCCAGCCAGUUGCGCGGGUUGCGGCGCACUGGGACCUACUUUAUGCUUUCCGUCGUCCCUGCCUUGCUAGGAAAAGAGAACAUUCCUCCUUGUGAUAUUGGGUACCUGGCUCUCUCCUGAAGACGCUGCUUUCCCAGCAAUUCACCACAGCGAAAGUCUGCCACCGCCCCCGCGGCGCAGGUGGUAUCUGUAUUUGUUGUCUUAUGGCCAUUGCUAGGCCAUUCCAUUCCACCCUUGUAAACCUUAGCAGAAACUCUUCUCUAAUGAGCCCUUUUCCCUCUCCUCACUGUUAUUUACCAGCUGCCUGGUCACUCAUGUUCAUUAAGGAAUUUAGUACCCAACUCAGUUUUUUUUUUUUUUUUUUUUUGGGACGGAGCCUCUAUCAGCCCAGUUUGGAGUACAGUGGUGCAAUCUUAGCUUGCCGCAACCUCCGCCUCCCAGUUUAUCCUGUAAUGACAGUAGCAUUUACAGAAAGUUUCUGUUGGAAAUAGAAAAAAAAAAAACAUGGAAAAUAUAUGAGUAUAGAAGAAAAACAAUUGAAAUUCCACUUUUAAAAUAAUGAUAUAUUCUCUUUAAGACACCAUUUUCCUUCUCCCUGUCGCUUCAAAAAAAAUCAGAAUAACACUACAUGUAAAAGUUUUGCGAUGUGAUCUUUAUGUAACAUUUUGAGGAUUUUUCCUUAUUAAAUAGUCUUUGUGGCCUGGCAUGGUGGCUCAUGCCUAUGAUCCAAGGACUUUGGGAGGCCAAGGUGGGAGGAUCACUUGAGGCCAGAAGUUCAAGACCAACCCGGGCAACAACAUAGCAAGACCCUGUCUCC